rnacentral:rRNA from 1 species
AGCGAACGCUGGCGGCGUGCUUAACACAUGCAAGUCGAGGUCAGAAUGGAGGGCUUCGGCCUUCCUAGUAAACCGGCGCACGGGUGAGUAACACGUAGGUAACCUACCUCCGAGUUCGGGAUAACCUGUCGAAAGAUAGGCUAAUACCGGAUAAGACCACGAUGGCUUCGGCCACUGCGGUCAAAGAUGGCCUCUAUUUAUACGCUAUCGCUUAGGGAUGGGCCUGCGCACCAUUAGCUAGUUGGUGAGGUAAUGGCUCACCAAGGCUACGAUGGUUAGUUGGUCUGAGAGGAUGACCAGCCACACUGGGACUGAGACACGGCCCAG